rnacentral:rRNA from 1 species
UCAAGUUAUUAAGGGUGCAGGGCGAAUGCCUUGGCACUAGGAGCCGAUGAAGGACGUGAUAAGCUGCGAUAAGCUUGGGGGAGUUGCACGUAAACUGUGAUCCCAAGAUUUCCGAAUGAGGAAACUCACUUAGAGUAAUGUCUAAGUAUCGUAUAGUGAAUACAUAGCUAUGCGAGGGGAACCCGGGGAACUGAAACAUCUAAGUACCCGGAGGAAGAGAAAGAAAUUCGAUUCCGUAAGUAGCGGCGAGCGAACGCGGAACAGGCCAAACCAGUAAAGUUUACUUUAUUGGGGUUGCGGACAUAUCAUAACGAAGGAAUAUCGAAGGUGAAGAGAGUUGGAAAGCUCCGCUAUAAAGUGUAAUAGCCACGUAGCCGAAACGAGAAAACUUUAGAUAUGAUCCAGAGUACCACGGGACACGUGAAACCCUGUGGGAAGCAGGAGGGACCAUCCUCCAAGCCUAAAUACUACCUAGUGACCGAUAGCGUAUAGUACCGUGAGGGAAAGGUGAAAAGAACCCCGGGAGGGGAGUGAAAGAGAACCUGAAACCCUGCACUUACAAGCUGUGGGAGCACAUUACUUGUGUGACCGCGUACUUUUUGUAGAACGGGCCAACGAGUUACGUUACGUAGCAAGGUUAAGCACUUAAGGUGUGGAGCCGUAGCGAAAGCGAGUCUUAAAUGGGCGUCUAGUUACCCGACGUAGACCCGAAACCAGGCGACCUAUCCAUGAGCAGGUUGAAGCGAAAGUAAAAUUUCGUGGAGGACCGAACCCACGAGCGUUGAAAAGCUCGGGGAUGACCUGUGGAUAGCGGUGAAAUUCCAAUCGAGCCCGGAGAUAGCUGGUUCUCUCCGAAAUAGCUUUAGGGCUAGCCUCAAGAUUGAGAGUAACGGGGGUAGAGCACUGAAUGUCCUAGGGGGUAUUGCACUUACCGAAGACUAUCAAACUCCGAAUACCGUAUACUUAUGCUUGGGAGUCAGACUAUGGGUGAUAAGAUUCAUAGUCAAAAGGGCAACAGCCCAGAUCGUCAGCUAAGGUCCCUAAAUGUACGUUAAGUGGUAAAGGAUGUGGGAUUGCACAGACAACCAGGAUGUUGGCUUAGAAGCAGCCACUCAUUUAAAGAGUGCGUAAUAGCUCACUGGUCGAGUGAUCCUGCGCCGAAAAUUUCCGGGGCUAAAACGUACUACCGAAGCUACGGCAUCAUUUAUGAUGGGUAGGGGAGCUUCGUAUGCAGGCUGAAGCAUGACCGUAAGGACAUGUGGACAGUAUACGAGUGAGAAUGUUGGCAUGAGUAGCGAGACGUGGGUGAGAAUCCCACGGGCCGUAAACCCAAGGUUUCCAGGGGAAGGUUCGUCCGCCCUGGGUUAGUCGGGACCUAAGCCGAGGCCGAAAGGCGUAGGUGAUGGACAACAGGUUGAUAUUCCUGUACCACCAAUAACCGUUUGAGAAAUGGGAUGACACAGAAGGAUAAGCUAACCGCACUGUUGGUUAUGUGCGGGCAAGUAUUGAGGCAGUUCUGGUAGGCAAAUCCGCCAGAAUAAUGCUAGGGUACGAUGCGGAGCGAAAUUUAGUAGCGAAGUAGCUGAUUUCACACUGUCGAGAAAAGUCUCUAUCGAGGUUAAAGGUGCCUGUACCGCAAACCGACACAGGUGGGUGAGGAGAGUAUCCUAAGGCCAGCCAGAGAACUGUUGUUAAGGAACUCGGCAAAAUGACCCCGUAACUUAGGGAGAAGGGGUGCCUUCGAAAGAAGGCCGCAGAGAAUAGGCCCAAGCGACUGUUUACCAAAAACAUAGGUUUCUGCUAAGUCGCAAGACGAUGUAUAGGAGCUGACGCCUGCCCGGUGCUGGAAGGUUAAGGGGAUCUGUUAGAGCAAUCGAAGCAGUGAACUUAAGCCCCAGUAAACGGCGGCCGUAACUAUAACGGUCCUAAGGUAGCGAAAUUCCUUGUCGGGUAAGUUCCGACCC